rnacentral:rRNA from 1 species
GACGAACGCUGGCGGCGUGCCUAAUACAUGCAAGUCGAGCGAAUGAAUGGGAGCUUGCUCCUGUUCGUUAGCGGCGGACGGGUGAGUAACACGUGGGCAACCUGCCUGUAAGACUGGGAUAACUUCGGGAAACCGGGGCUAAUACCGGAUAGUUUCUUUCUUCACAUGAAGAAGGAUGGAAAGACGGUUUUGCUGUCACUUACAGAUGGGCCCGCGGCGCAUUAGCUAGUUGGUGAGGUAACGGCUCACCAAGGCGACGAUGCGUAGCCGACCUGGGAGGGUGAUCGGCCACACUGGGACUGAGACACGGCCCAGACUCCUACGGGAGGCAGCAGUAGGGAAUCUUCCGCAAUGGACGAAAGUCUGACGGAGCAACGCCGCGUGAGUGAAGAAGGUUUUCGGAUCGUAAAACUCUGUUGUCAGGGAAGAACAAGUACCAGAGUAACUGCUGGUACCUUGACGGUACCUGACCAGAAAGCCACGGCUAACUACGUGCCAGCCGCCGCCGUAAUAC